rnacentral:rRNA from 1 species
CCCCACUGCUAUCGGGGUGGGACUAAAACAUGCAAGUCGAGCGCCUCCAAGCUAUGGUGAAGGCGCGGCAAACGGCUCAGUAACACGUGGCCAACCUACCCUUGGGACGGAGACAACCCCGGGAAACUGGGGCUAAUCCCCGAUAGGUAAGGAAUCCUGGAAUGGAUCUUUGCUGAAAGGGCGUCUGGACCAUGCUUCUUGACGUCGCCCAAGGAUGGAGCCGCGACCGAUCAGGUAGUUGGCGAGGCAACGGCUCACCAAGCCUAUAACCGGUACGGGCCGUGAGAGCGGGAGCCCGGAGAUGGGCACUGAGACAAGGGCCCAGGCCCUACGGGGCGCAGCAGUUGCGAAAACUCCGCAAUGCGCGAAAGCGUGACGGGGCUACCCCGAGUGCCGCCCGUUGAGGGCGGCUUUUCCGCGGUGUAAGGAGCCGUGGGAAUAAGGAGAGGGCAAGACUGGUGUCAGCCGCCGCGGUAAUACCAGCUCUCCGAGUGGUGGGGACGAUUAUUGGGCCUAAAGCGUUCGUAGCCGGCUUAACAAGUCUUCCGUUAAAUCCAACGAUCUAAUCGUUGGGCUGCGGGAGAUACUGUUGGGCUAGGAGGCGGGAGAAGCCGACGGUAUUCUCGGGGUAGGGGUGAAAUCCUGUAAUCCCGGGAGGACCACCAGUGGCGAAGGCGGUCGGCUAGAACGCGCUCGACGGUGAGGGACGAAAGCUGGGGGAGCGAACCGGAUUAGAAACCCGGGUAGUCCCAGCUGUAAACGAUGCGGGCUAGGUGUUGGGGUGGCCACGAGCCACUUCAGUGCCGCAUGGAAGCAAUUAAGCCCGCCGCCUGGGGAGUACGGCCGCAAGGCUGAAACUUAAAGGAAUUGGCGGGGGAGCACCACAAGGCGUGAAGCUUGCGGUUU